AUGGGAAUGACGAUAUCUUCAGUCUUGAGACUCUAUGAUGUUUCAUGUAUUCAUACUGUCUGACCCAG